GUCCUAAGAGCUACCUGUAGCACCAGGAAUCCUGCAGCAGCAUCAGAGCACCGCAAGACUCCAUGUGAAGAUGUUUUUGAGUCAGA
rnacentral:lncRNA from 1 species